UUUGAGGCUGACAUUAUGAUCUGCAGAGAGUAAAGAUUCUAGUUAGACUUUUGUACUUGAUCCUAAUCUGUUCUAAGGUCUUUUAGAACAAAUGUAACUCCCACUAUUUUCUCGAAUUCCUCACACUCCCCUGGUAGGAAAACGAAAAUCCUACACGACUAGGGUUUCUAGUGGGUACUGCGGUUCUACCGAUUUACAUGCCACCUCACCUAACAGUUAUUGGUGACACAUAGAUUGAUGAAUGUACAACUCUUGUACAAUGCUUCUCAAGCAUGUUGCAGUGCUUCUU
rnacentral:lncRNA from 1 species